rnacentral:rRNA from 1 species
UACGUAGGGUGCGAGCGUUAAUCGGAAUUACUGGGCGUAAAGCGUGCGCAGGCGGUUUUGUAAGCCAGAUGUGAAAGCCCCGGGCUUAACCUGGGAAUGGCAUUUGGGACUGCAAGGCUUGAGUGCGGCAGAGGAGACUGGAAUUCCUGGUGUAGCAGUGAAAUGCGUAGAUAUCGAGAGGAACACCUGCGGCGAAGGCGGGUUGCUGGGCUGAUACUGACGCUGAUGCGCGAAAGCCAGGGGAGCGAACGGG